rnacentral:lncRNA from 10 species
AUUUGAGUAAAAUGCCUGAUUCUCCUGUGUGGCCAGUCUCGUGUCAAUUAAACUCUCUACUACAAUGCCAUGGUGUCAAUGCAUCUUGUCUGUGCAGUGCGCAGAAAGAACCCACUGGCAAUUACAUUACCAGUAGCUAUCGCUCUUCUGUCCUUCAAACAGGAAAUACUUCAACCCUGGAACCACGGCACCAGCACCUGCUUCUGAUGAGGGUCUCCGACUGCUUCUGUUCAUGGCACAAGGUGAAGGACAGCCAGUGUGUAAAGAGCACAUGGCAAGAGAGAGGAAAAGUGGGGAUCCACCCCCACGACCCAAACACCUUUCACCAGGACCCAUCUCCAACUUUGGGGAACAAAUUUUAAUGUGAGAUUUGGUGGAGACAAAUGUUCAAACCAUACCAGAUAACUCACAACAUCUGCCACUAUGCUUCUGUUAAGGAAAAAGGCUUGAUUCUUAAUUGAAGAGCUGCAUAAAAGCUAUAGCUGAAGUCCAUGGGGACCACGGGAAUUGAAGAAACUUGGAGAGCUGCUGCCAAGAGGAAAUGAAUGGUGUCUUUGAGAUAUUCACAAACAUCCGGUGCGGAUGGGGAAGCUCACUUUGAGAGCCAGCGUUUAUUCUAUUUUCUGUAUUUGAUCCAUUCUCAACAAAGGCCGUUCCCAACCCUAUCUUUCACAGUGUCUUUCUGCUGCACCAGAUGUUGGAAUAAAUCUGUAUUUCUUU